UUUGUGGGACAGCCAUGAGGAGGUGCAUCACCAGAGGGCUGCUUGGAGGGUCUUUCUGAAAGCUGGCAUAAGAAUGCUGGAUGGCAUUGUGACGGAUGCUAUUGAGGCCAGUUCAAUUGGAUUCAAUCCUGGACACGUGGAUAUUUACAGUGCAAGCUGGGGCCCCAAUGAUGAUGGGAAAACUGUGGAGGGGCCUGGCCGGCUAGCCCAGAAGGCUUUUGAAUAUGGUGUCAAACAGACGAGCGCUGACCUGCACAAUGACUGCACGGAGACGCACACAGGCACCUCGGCCUCUGCACCUCUGGCUGCUGGCAUCUUCGCUCUGGCCCUGGAAGCAAACCCAAAUCUCACCUGGCGAGAUAUGCAGCACCUGGUUGUCUGGACCUCUGAGUAUGACCCGCUGGCCAAUAACCCUGGAUGGAAAAAGAAUGGAGCAGGCUUGAUGGUGAAUAGUCGAUUUGGAUUUGGCUUGCUAAAUGCCAAAGCUCUGGUGGAUUUAGCUGACCCCAGGACCUGGAGGAGUGUGCCUGAGAAGAAAGAGUGUGUUGUAAAGGACAAUGACUUUGAGCCCAGAGCCCUGAAAGCUAAUGGAGAAGUUAUCAUUGAAAUUCCAACAAGAGCUUGUGAAGGACAAGAAAAUGCUAUCAAGUCCCUGGAGCAUGUACAAUUUGAAGCAACAAUUGAAUAUUCCCGAAGAGGAGACCUUCAUGUCACACUUACUUCUGCUGCUGGAACUAGCACUGUGCUCUUGGCUGAAAGAGAACGGGAUACAUCUCCUAAUGGCUUUAAGAAUUGGGACUUCAUGUCUGUUCACACAUGGGGAGAGAACCCUAUAGGUACUUGGACUUUGAGAAUUACAGACAUGUCUGGAAGAAUUCAAAAUGAAGGAAGAAUUGUGAACUGGAAGCUGAUUUUGCACGGGACCUCUUCUCAGCCAGAGCAUAUGAAGCAGCCUCGUGUGUACACGUCCUACAACACUGUUCAGAAUGACAGAAGAGGGGUGGAGAAGAUGGUGGAUCCAGGGGAGGAGCAGCCCACACAAGAGAACCCUAAGGAGAACACCCUGGUGUCCAAAAGCCCCAGCAGCAGCAGCGUAGGGGGCCGGAGGGAUGAGUUGGAGGAGGGAGCCCCUUCUGAGGCCAUGCUGCGACUCCUGCAAAGUGCUUUCAGUAAAAACUCACCGCCAAAGCAAUCACCAAAGAAAUCCCCAAGUGCAAAGCUCAACAUCCCUUAUGAAAACUUCUACGAAGCCCUGGAAAAGCUGAACAAACCUUCCCAGCUUAAAGACUCUGAAGACAGUCUGUAUAAUGACUAUGUUGAUGUUUUUUAUAACACUAAACCUUACAAGCACAGAGACGACCGGCUGCUUCAAGCUCUGGUGGACAUUCUGAAUGAGGAAAAUUAAAAUAAGUGUGUGGUCCCAAGUUGGAAAUAUUCAUGCUUCUUCCUUACCCUGCGAUUUUGCCUGUGUCUGAAGUGGU
rnacentral:sRNA from 1 species